UUCCAGUGCACAGAUCAGCCGUGGCACAUUCAGGUAGCAGAAAAUAUUAAUUCAUCCAUAGCUGUUUGUAAUCCAAGUCAUGUUUCUUUUGUUUGUGAUGGUUUUGAUCAUAGAAACAGUAGAACAGCUAGAAUCUGUUACCAUUUCUUUCUUACAUCCAUAUUUAAAACCUAUGCAUAUCUGAACAGAUGAGGAUGAAGCUCAGUUUCAAGUUCAUAGCAGUAUCAUGAAAAAACCAUGCUUGUGGAGUUUGUGAUUUCCAGUCAGAUGCUUGCCCAUCAAAUACAGUAUCGAUUUCCCUUAUUUACUGCUCAGUGUUUGAUCCACCUGAGGAAACCCAGCAUGACUCUCCCUCCAUCAGAUACCAAGAUAUCCUAGAACGUGAUAGCUCUGGCCAUGACAGCCAUGAGCUGGAUCAUCCAGCGGAGGCAGGGAGCGAAGAACCGGUCACGUGGGGGGAACCAGCCGGUUGUGUCAGGCACAUGGGACAUCAGGUCGAGAAAGAGCCCGUGGUGCAGUGCUGCAAAGGCAAGACGUACCGCCCUCAUGGUGGGAGAUGGGAGAUGACAGCGCACUGCGUGAUCCUCACCAUCAACAUACUGGAUUUGACAAGUCUGCAUACCAGGAAUCUGACUGCAGACCAGUGGAACCUGACAUAAGGGAUCCCUGUCCAGUAACAUGCCAAACAUGCACCCAGGUACCACAUCACAUCACGGGCACCACCAGGGAUGUUGCGGCCCAAGCGAAGAGUGGCAUGAGGCACUUCUGGGGAAGAUUUCUCUGCGGUGACCUGACAAUGAGGCAGAUCAUCCUAAGGACUGGAGAACAUCCCAAUGCUGUCAUCUCUCUUCCCCACCAAAAGGCUGCAGCCACAUCCCUUGAUACCUCCCAUAUCCAGAAUUCAGACAUCACAAGGAAGCUGAUGUUGUUUCACACAACGUCCAAAUCGCUCACAGGAUGCUGGUCCUAAGAACGCGUGGUGGUGUCACCUUCUAGUGGAGAUGGCUGAUGCCUAGA